CUCCUAAACUAUACUACCCUGAACAUGUUCAAUUCCAUCUGAUCUCAGAAGCUAAGCAGAGUUGGGUCUGGUUAGUACUUGAUGGGAGA
rnacentral:rRNA from 1 species